UACGGAGGAUCCAAGCGUUAUCCGGAUUUAUUGGGUUUAAAGGGUGCGCAGGCGGAAGAUUAAGUCGGCGGUGAAAUUUUGCAGCUCAACUGUAAAAGUGCCAUCGAUACUGGUUUUCUUGAGUGUGGAUGAAGUAGGCGGAAUUUGUGGUGUAGCGGUGAAAUGCAUAGAUAUCACGAGGAACUCCGAUUGCGCAGGCAGCUUACUAGGCCAUAACUGACGCUCAGGCACGAAGGCGUGGGGAUCAAACAGGAUUAGA
rnacentral:rRNA from 1 species